UAGUUAGCUGAAAAUGACGAGUCUUAUAAUCCAAACAGUAGCACGAAAAUUCAUGCGCUAGCACUCCUAUUGACGAUUCUGAUAUGUAGCCUACUGUCUGCUAGUACAUAUCGGAAUUGUCAAUAGGAGUGCUAACGCAUAAAUUUUCGUGCUAUCCAAACGGGUGGUAAUUUGCCAGGAAGUUAAAUCGAUCGCGAUAAGUGUGUGGGAUCGUUUCUUUUUUUAUCAUCUUUAUUUAGCAGAAGGGCAUUUCAAAAAAGUUGCAAUUGUUAACCGUGGGUAGAAUUGUCUCACUUAUUGAACCCCAAAAAUGGACCUGUUCCCAUACGGCAGCGAAGUAGUGCCACAUUGAACUUUCCAUGAUGAAAACAAAGUAGGCCUAUAUAUAUAUAAAGCAAAACGAACUAUGUAAUUAUUCUUGUUGAAAAUAUAUUUUAUUGAAUAGCAUUCAAAGAGUAGGCGUAUGUCUGCACGUCAUGUGUAAGUAUGUAAAUGGCAAAUAAAAAAUAGGGUGUCUGAUUUGGUGAAUAGAGGAACCUGUUGGCUAACAAAAUGCGUUCGUUUUGCUUGUAUGUUUUCAACAAACCCAAAUCCCCUCUGGAUGAUACGGUAUGCCUUAUCAUCUACCAAAAUCUAAAUCGAGGCUUCCGUACGGAAAUUAGGCGAAUUAUAUAUUUUCAUGUAAAUCAGGUGAGCAUUUCGGUGAGAGGUGUUCAGAGAGGACCGAGGACAGCAUGAGAUGGAGAAGAAAGAGGCCACAUGCCUUUACUACAAUUUCUACAUGCAGGCCGAAAAUGUGGAAUUGAAAACGACAGCAACCUGUUAGAACGGAUUUGCCAUCAAAGAAUUCGAAGAGAGGAGGCCUUCAAAAUGUCUGAACGCGUAUUCCGUCUUAAGGCAUAUUCGAGGAGAGUCACCUGCAUUGAAAUAAAGUAGUUCCUUUGAGGCGUAGGAGCAAGCCCGUGUGAACGCCAUCAUCGCCCCCACCUGCUUAUACUUAUAGACGACUGGUGGCCUUGGAAAUACACAGUUACAUUGUAUUAGGCAGGGAACCCAUGUCUCCUACCGGAUGAGACUUGGACUCGAGAUGUACGCAGUUUUCUGCUUCAAACUGACAGGUUCCCAACAAACUCUUCCUUUAAGAUGAGUAUGCAUUAUAUACUACAGCACGCUCUCACAAGCACGAAUCAAUUGUUCAGUACACAAUAGUUGAAUAUUUAACAGAAAUUGCCGAUUCCAGUAAAAUGUAGCCUAUUUUGUUCUACCUACUACAUUAAAAACAACAUAUCUGUUUUACAUUAAAAAAGAAAAUGAUACUUGAUUGUAUUUGUACCCAAAUUAUGUAUGAUGUGCUUGAUAUAUUAUGCAUAGGAAACUUGAAGAUCUUUUGUCAAUGUUAAAUAUUUAAAAAUGAUUUGCAAUUAGGUUGCGCUUUAUAAAUAUAACGUUUAAUAGCAAGUGUAAUGAAGUUAUUAAUUACCUUCACCCCUGU